rnacentral:rRNA from 1 species
CCUACGGGUGGCAGCAGUGGGGGAUAUUACACAAUGGGGGAAACCCUGAUGCAGCGACGCCGCGUGAGUGAAGAAGUAUUUCGGUAUGUAAAGCUCUAUCAGCAGGGAAGAAAAUGACAGUACCUGACCAAGAAGCCCCGUCUAACUACGUGCCAGCAGCCGCGGUAAUACGGAGGGGGCAAGCGUUAUCCGGAUUUACUGGGUGUAAAGGGAGCGUAGCCGGUUAAUGAAGUCUUUAGUGAAAGCCCGGGGCGCAAACCCGGGACUGCUUUGGAUACUGUGUAACUGGAGUACAGGAGGGGCAGGCGGAAUUCCUGGUGUAGCGGUGAAAUGUGUAGAUAUCAGGAGGAACACCGGUGGCGAAGGCGGCCUGCUGGACUGAAACUGACGUUGAGGCUCGAAAGCGUGGGGAGCAAACAGGAUUAGAUACCCCAGUAGUC